AUUGAACGCUGGCGGCAUGCCUUACACAUGCAAGUCGAACGGCAGCACGUCCCCUCGGGGAUGGUGGCGAGUGGCGAACGGGUGAGUAAUACAUCGGAACGUGCCCUGAAGUGGGGGAUAACGUAGCGAAAGUUACGCUAAUACCGCAUAUUCUGUGAGCAGGAAAGCAGGGGAUCUUAGGACCUUGUGCUUUAGGAGCGGCCGAUGUCGGAUUAGCUAGUUGGUGGGGUAAAGGCCUACCAAGGCGACGAUCCGUAGCGGGUCUGAGAGGAUGAUCCGCCACACUGGAACUGAGACACGGUCCAGACUCCUACGGGAGGCAGCAGUGGGGAAUUUUGGACAAUGGGCGCAAGCCUGAUCCAGCCAUGCCGCGUGAGUGAAGAAGGCCUUCGGGUUGUAAAGCUCUUUCGGCCGGGAAGAAAUCGUACAGGUUAAUACCCUGUGUGGAUGACGGUACCGGAAUAAGAAGCACCGGCUAACUACGUGCCAGCCGCCGCAGUAAGAC
rnacentral:rRNA from 1 species